rnacentral:lncRNA from 1 species
GUCGGCCUAUUCCAGGGCUUCUAGAGAAAAAUAAUGAGGGGUGUCACGGGGUAUGACUAUAAAGGUCUUGUAGAGGAGAAACAUGCGCUUCUUUUCCGCUAGGUAUCGAAGGGCACUAUGUUCAUAAAUCUGAAACUAGACCUCAAAAUUUGAACAAAAUGUCAAAAAAUUAGGGGGGUCACCCAGCAGCGGCAUAACAAAAAAAAACUCAUCAUAAAUACCAGACGCGCGUUUCGUCUACAAAAGACUCAUUAGUGACGCUCGAAUCAAAAUAAUGGUUGAAAGGCCAAAAUAAAGGACGAAGUUGAAGAUCAUUGAGAACCAAACAUUCCUAGCAGUUUUGCCAAAUACAGGUAAGACAGUUUAUUCCUGGUGUAGAAAAACCUUAGUUUUUUUCAAAAAUUCAAAGCGGUGUUAAUUUAUAAGAUUAUAUUAAUGAUAAGCCAAGUCAACAC